rnacentral:lncRNA from 1 species
UCCCUGAGAGAUUUUUAAAAUUCUUAUUUUAAAAAGCCGAAGGCUUACCGCCUUUUAAGGGUGAGAGAUUUGAAGAAACAAAAGUUCCGACAGCGCUCCAAAUAGUCUUAACUGUGAGAGGUCCCUGGGGAAUUGGGGCAAUUCGUGAUUGGUCGAAGUGGUUUUCGGGACCGUGACACGUUCGUGCUGCUCCGAUCGCGACGCGACUAAUCCCAUUCGAUGUAGAAUGACUUUUAACACAGGUAAUGACUAAAUUUUUUAAGUAUUAACGAAAUUAACGAGAGAUUGGGAGCAAAAAGGGGAAAAAAAGGGGAAACUUCUAAAAUAUAGGAAAAAAAUGUCUUCUAAAAUUAGAGGAUGCAACCACCUCUAAUUGAAAGAUGAACCUAUCAUUUAACGGAAAAGACUAAAUUUGCAUUACGUUAUUUGUGGUUCGCGAGAUAUUUGACCAAGAAAAAGACACACAGAUUGACUUUUAGUUGAUUGUGUGCUGACUAGCAGACGACGUUAAUUUGCAACAGCCAGUCUGCUUGUGGAAUGUGGCAUGGCCUACUGUGGGUAUUUUAAUUUGAUCGUUUGAAUGUUUGUGAUUGAUUUCAUCUUGUGAAGCACUAUGUUUAUAUUUCAAAUUUUAACUAUUGCAGCAUUAUAAUAAGGAAAGAAAAACAUACCUCUUGUGUCACAACUGAUGGUUCCUUUACCUAUCAAAUCUGUACCACAUUGACAGAUGGUUCACAUGUAGGUGCUGAAUCAACUGGAAAACGUUCAAAAAAAGGGAAUUGAGAAUUACAUUUAUCAUCAGACAUACCUCCAUUUCAGAAAAUUUUAUCGUUAAGAUGACAAGUUGGGAAUUGAUUUACUGUUUACAUGUCACCUUAAGUGAUAUCAUUGCAUACCAGACUUUAUUCGGAUGCAAAACAAAUUUCCCUCAUUUAAAAGGCAUGCAUGAUUUAAUGGUUGAAAUUUUGUAACGAAGAAAAAAGAAAGCUGCAGCUGUGGAAAAUAGAAUUGACAGAUUACAUUCAUCAUCAGACGCAUUUCAGUUUCAGAAAGUUUUGUCUUGAAGAUGGCAAAAGUUGCCAGUCGAUUUACAUGUCACCUUAAGUGAUGUCAUAGCAGGAGCUUGUCAUUUAGAAUUUAGAUAGCAUACUUCUAUUUCAGAAAGUUGCCAGAAAAGUUGCCAGUCAAUUUACAUAAUACCCUAAGUGAUAUCAUAACAGGAGCUUGUCAUUUAGAUAGUACUCUAAAGCAAGAGCCUUGACAAGCAAAAUUGUAUUUCAUUCUGGCCCAACAAAUAGUGGGAAAACAUAUCAUGUUCAUGAAUGGUUUUUUAAUUCAAAUAAGAAGUUUAUUGUAAUCCUUUAAUUUCUUUAUUAAAAAUCAGAAGUUUAUUGUGGUCCCUUAAAACUUUUGACAUCUAAGUAAUAAAAUUAAGGAAAUGAGUGCGGUGUCCAAUGUGAUUUACUAUUUGGAGAAUAAAGACAUUUUCAUGCUAA